CUCCAUAAAAAAUUUCCCAAAGAAGAAAUCUAAAAAAAAAUAACAUGUGAGUUAUCUUUACAUUAUCUUAUCGUGUGAAUUGAAGCAUGGAAGAUGCCCGGAUGUGCACGUGCUCAAGUAAAGCUUCCUGGGGCGUUUUUUAUUGUUAUAAAAGUAUCUCGGAAGUAUCGAGACCACACCGGGGUUUUAAUAUCGUGCAUAACAAUUCAAUAACUUAUUUGGAUCGAUAUCAUCGACAAGUAAUCGAUUCCGCUCAAUGUUCUGUGAAGAAAUCCGCUUUUAUUAGGUACUAUACAAAAAAAACACCUUGCUGGAGGUGUCACAAAAAUAUCUGACCGUCGCGUUGGUCUCCGAAAAUAAAAAAUCUAUUAAUAGAGAUAAGGAGGAGAAAAAAGCAUUUAUCAAUGAACAGUUAAAUAAAUAAAUAGAAUGUUCGUUGAUGAAAUGGCAUGAAUAGAAAGGGAGUAUCGAUUUGAAUCUCCGACCUUGGACGAAUAAAUGAGCUAAGUGUUAUGUUUUAUGUUACUUAUACUUUUUGUACUUUACAUACAUAUAUGGUAGUGUGUUAUAUGUAGAUAGAUAUUGGAAGUUAUGUUCAAUUCAUGUGUGAUGUGUGUAACAAUGAGAGACAUAAGCUAUUUAAUAUUGAAUAUUGAUUCAAGUGUCCGGGCUUUUAUUAUUUUAUCUGGCAGAAUUGUUUUGUUUUGCGGGAUAUUGUGUGUGCUGUUCUAAUGGACGAUGUCUAGAAAGUUGGAAAUUUGGCCCAGUAAAAAUCGUAAAAGUUUCUCGCAACAAUUAAAACAAUUACCCGAGGACAAAAUAAAUCAGUCGGAUGUAAAAACAU